rnacentral:misc_RNA from 1 species
GAUGAAGAACGUAGCGAAAUGCGAUAAGUAAUGUGAAUUGCAGAAUUCAGUGAAUCAUCGAAUCUUUGAACGCACAUUGGGCCCGCCAGUAUUCUGGCGGGCAGGCCUGUUCGAGCGUCAUUACAACCCUCAGGCCCCCGGGCCUGGCGUUGGGGAUCGGCGGAGCCCCCCGUGGGCACACGCCGUCCCCCAAAUACAGUGGCGGUCCCGCCGCAGCUUCCAUCGCGUAGUAGCUAACACCUCGCGACUGGAGAGCGGCGCGGCCACGCCGUAAAACACCCAACUCUUCUGAAGUUGACCUCGAAUCAGGUAGGAAUACCCGCUGAACUUAAGCAUAUCAAUAAGCGGAGGA